rfam:Trypanosoma theileri isolate Edinburgh TM35_Tth_3_V1, whole genome shotgun sequence.
GACGUUCCUCCAACCGCCUUGCAUUGUGCUGUUGUGUGCACUGCGUGGUGAUAUCUGGGACGGAGAU